UACAGAGGUCCCAAGCGUUGUUCGGAUUCACUGGGCGUAAAGGGUGCGUAGGUGGCGGGGUAAGUCGGAUGUGAAAUCUCGGAGCUCAACUCCGAAAUGGCAUUGGAAACUACCCUGCUAGAGGGUCGGAGGGGGGACUGGAAUACUUGGUGUAGCAGUGAAAUGCGUAGAUAUCGGGAGGAACACCUGAGGCGAAGGCGGGCUACUGGGCCGAUACUGACGCUGAUGUGCGAAAGCCAGGGGAGCGAACGGG
rnacentral:rRNA from 1 species